rnacentral:rRNA from 1 species
AUUGAACGCUGGCGGCAGGCCUAACACAUGCAAGUCGAACGGUAACAGGAAGCAGCUUGCUGCUUCGCUGACGAGUGGCGGACGGGUGAGUAAUGUCUGGGAAGCUGCCUGAUGGAGGGGGAUAACUACUGGAAACGGUAGCUAAUACAGCAUAAUGUCGCAAGACCAAAGAGGGGGACCUUCGGGCCUCUUGCCAUCGGAUGUGCCCAGAUGGGAUUAGCUUGUUGGUGGGGUAACGGCUCACCAAGGCGACGAUCCCUAGCUGGUCUGAGAGGAUGACCGGCCACACUGGAACUGAGACACGGUCCCGACUCCUACGGUAGGCAGCAGUGGCGAAUAUUGCACAAUAGGCGCAAGCCUGAUGCAGCCAUGCCGCGUGUAUGAAGAAGGCCUUCGGGUUGUAAAGUACUUUCAGCGGGGAGGAAGGGAGUAAAGUUAAUACCUUUGCUCAUUGACGUUACCCGCAGAAGAAGCACCGGCUAACUCCGUG